GAGGGUAUAACUCAAUGGUAGAGCACAUGCUUAGCAUGCCUGAAGUCCUGGGUUCAGUCCCCAGUAUCUCUG
rnacentral:tRNA from 1 species